GUAAAUACAUGAUGAUGAUGAGGAGGAGGAUACUGAGAAAGAGUGUAUUUUAAAAUAAUGUUUUAUACCACUGAGUGUUAUUUUUUUCCUCUUUAUUUACAUCACCAAUACUUUGCUUCUUAAUGACAUUUGAGUUUUCGUCGAGAUUAAAAUGAAGUAAACAAAGUCAUAAUUAUUCUCUCUCGCUCGCUAGUGAUGUCGGGUACUGCAGGCCAUAACUUGUAAUAAUUUCAGUACAAACUCACCAAACGUGUUGGGACCAGCGCCAAGUGGCAAAGCUUCAGCCCUCGUUUUCUUUUUCCUCACUUCCCUCCUUCAUCUCUUCCACAUCCCGCCACCUUCCUGCCCAAUUACCCAGAGUUGAGGAAUGUGCUUGUUUGUGUCUUGGGCAGGAGUUUGGAAUUAAAAGGUGGCACAGGUGAGAAGCCAUACCGACACCUGUUGGAGAUUAAGCUGACACUUCGGUACAUCAACAAGGGGCCUUAAUUAGGUGGGGGGGAGGAGAGAGAACCUCUAAGUUUGGUAUACUUGUGUAAGUCCGUCAGUUCUUUCAUGUAGUUCUGUUCUACCUGUUCUACACUGGAGCUGUCACAGAUCAAGAUCACGGGAUAUAAUUAUGUUUCGCAAUGUGAUUUUGUUUCUGUGACAAUGCUCAAAACAUUGUAAUCAAUAAACGAGAUAAAGUGGGAGGUAAAUAAUAAUAAUAAUAAAAAAAAGAGCAGACGAAGCAGAAAAUUCGACAUUGACAAAAAAAGUUGUGUGCUCUGAAACUAUUUGCCCCCUGACUACUAUCUUCUCUGUUUCAGUUCAGUUACGAUGCUUCUACCCGAGUCUUAUCUCAUCUAAGGGGAGGCAAUGCUCCCGAGCUCGGUCUCGUGCACAGAUUUUGUAAAAAAAAAAAAAAAUACACAACACGAACUCUCUUGACAGCUUGCGUGCUGUCUGUGCUUUUUGUAUGCGUCUGUGCGUGUUUUGUUUGUCUGCAUUUAGAUGUUUAUGAGUGUAUGUUUAUGUGUGCGUGUGUGCGCGUGCGUACGUCAGAGAGUGUGAGUAUGAAUAUAUCUUUAGGUAUAUUUGAGUGCAUGUUUCUUUUGUGUGUGUGUGUGCACGUGAGUGUUCAAGAGAGGGUAUAUUUGUGUGUGUACGUGUAAGACUUUGUCUAUGUGUGUACAUGUACAUGUUUCUCUUUGUGUGCGUUUGAGAUAGAGAGAGUGUGUGUGUGUGUGAGAGAAGUUACCUACUCAGCCUUUGUUGGUCUAACGCCAGGUGGCGUGCAAGACCACGUGCUGUAAACAUGUUUUGUUUUCACCAGGACAUCGUUGUCUGUCAUCUUGUGUCUUGCUGCAGCUGCUGUACAGCGAUGCAGGUCCUUACCGCUCACGUGAGGCCCUGUCGUCAGCUGCAACGCCUUCACGAGACAUCCUCCCAUGACAAGACACAAAGGUCGUGACAUACCGACCUUCCCUUACCAUUGCUAGCGAUCUACCACUGCUACCUUCAGUGAUUUUUUAUCUCUUCCUCCCUCCAUUGCCGUUCAACGAUACACUUUGACUGUUAGUCUAACUACUGUAACUUUUCUGAGUCUGAUAAUUUUCGCGACUGGUGUAGCCUGUAGAACUAUCGCAAAAUCUUCUCUCUUGUCCUCACACUUCAUCUCUAGACAUCUUUGUCCGAAAAACACGGGCCAGAGAUGGUCAAGACAUGGAGUGUGACAGCUGAGUGCUACCUAUUCUGCCGGGCAGUGUGAGUUUGUAUACGAGUCUUUAGUCGUGGUUGUCAGCCAUGCUAAAUUCAGUAGACGAGGAGGAGAAAGACACUAUCAAGAAGAAAGAAAAGGACAGAUGGAGGAUGAAGCGGAACAGGAGGUAGAGGAGUUCUCUUUGAUCUUCCUUGUGUCGGCCAGCACGUGUUCCCGGCCUCGUCCACGAGCUCUCAGACCACGAAAACUUGCGGCAACUGCUCCUCCUUUUUAUUUAUUUAUUUAUUCAUUUAUUUCCUUCGCACCAUCUAUGCAUGCAGAGUGUCACCGUUCUCAUCUGAAACAGGUUCUUCGGUACUGAAUCUCUUCGAUCAAACAGUUUUCAAGAUUUUCAUCAUCAGUUAAGUUGUUCUCUUUGUUAUAAUUUGAAUAUGCUUAUGCUGAAAUAAGCGAUUUUGAGGGACUAAAAGGAACUGGAAUUUAUAAAGAAAUAAAAAAGCAGCAAUGCAUGAAUGUAAAAAUAUUCAUUAUUAAUAAUGUAAUGUGCACAUACACGGUCAUGCAAAUGUUCUUAUAAAUUAUAAACAAGUUUCAGUGAUAUCUAAAUAAUGAAAGUAAGAUUAAACAAUCUAAAAUUAUUAAGAUUAUGGAUUGGUUUGUGUCAUAACAGAGCCCUCAGGAACAUACUUUCUGUGAAAUGUGCAUAACACGAGUCUGGAGGCACAGGUCUUCUUCAGCCCUCAGAUUUUUAAAAUGUUUUUACACCUGCGAAGAUAAGAGACUUUAAACAUUUUUUUUCAAGAUUCAAGAUAUUUUAUUCUUUUGCCACCAUAAAGGGGAACUGAGAAAAUGCAAAAAUUACAUUAUUUAAUUAUUUUUAAUCCAGUAUCGCGGUCUCUUAACCUCCUUCUCUCUCUCUCUCCAGCUCCAAGCUCCUCGAUCACCAAUAUCGAAAUUUUCAUUUCAGUUUCAUAGCUUUAAUAUUGAUAAAAAAAAUUUUAAGUUCCCAUUUAAAUUCUCUACCUCUCUUUAUUUUCUCUCUCAGUCAUUUCCCAAAAGAGUUCUCACCCAAACCAUUUUUCACAUCAGUAUCAUAUCUUCUAUCACAAUAAUAACUUCCCACUUACUCACUAGACCUGAAGUGCCCCAUCGGCCAUCUCCCAGCUCGGCCAGCCUGUAAUCAGAUGCAGGCUUGACGUGCAUACUCACCCCGGGCACGGUGGGGAGCACUGAACGACCUUCGACCUCUGACAGGGACAGAGGACAGUGUCACCAACGGCGUCCGGCCGUCGCCGGCGGUCAUCCCGUCCCUCGACACACACUGACCCCAGUCACCCUCUGAUAGUCACGAGCUUCUUACUUUGUGUCUAAUGGCAUCUUCCUUUCUUUCUUUUAAUCAGAGGAAAGGUAAGCUGCGAGCUGGUCCUCUGGUAAGAUUGUCUCAUACUUUACCGUUUAUUGUUUCAGUUUAAAAUAGUCGUUAGAGAACGAUGUUUGAACAUCAGUCUGGUCUGACAUUGUGAAGUCUUGUUCUUAAGCUUCUAACAAUGUUUGGUUUCAAUGGAAACAUCACAUAAAUUUGUGGAAUAUAUUGUAAUUAAACAUUAUUCUAUCAUUGUUAGGAUUCAAACAGAGGGUAUGUUUUAUUGUGGGAAGAUAAACUGUGUUUCUUUGACUGCUUUCAUGACAUGUACUUCAAGGGUUUCGUGGUAAGAUUCUGUAUAAAUGUAAAUUUGAGGUUACAAGAUAGUUAAGUAGCUGUUGCUACAUGUAUAGUGUAGGUAUCUAGCGACGAGGCAGGUUUUAAAAUACACUAGCAUCUCAACAAUAAUGUCAUAGUUCCUUUGAGCAGUGUAAUACAGAUCAAGCGAGGACACUGAAGUUCGUGUUUAAUUAGCAAUAUUUUUAUUAUUCCAUAUCCUGAACUAAUCAUUAGCUUUUGAAUCUCCUUACACUGCAUUUUGCUACAGUGAUUUGUCUUUGAGCGCUAAGAUAAAUAACAAACUCUGAAUGAGUAAAGGAAAAAGGAAUGUUGCUCUAUUGUAUCCGAAACUAGUUUAUGAAAAUAUAGCUUCUGGUUUUACAGAUUAUUAGCAGGAAGGAUGCCUUUACACUUUCUAUAUUACCGAUUAUUGAGGUCCAGAUCAUGUUUAUUACUAAUCUUACAGAAUUCUGUUGCACAUUUCCAACACAUUACAUUAUAUUAUAGCCUUAUCUUUCGCCAGUAUUCUGAUUUUUUAAAAAUAAGGUGAACAGUCGUUGGCACUGUCAACAUUUGUGUCGCAUACUCAGGGUGUUUAGUGUGAGGUAUAGUCAUCAUUGUUGUUGUUGUUGUUGUUACACUUUUCUAAGGAUUUGUUCAAAGCACUUUACAGAAAUGAUAUACAGAAGUAAACUGAAUCACCAACAACCAUGUAGUUAAAUUCAGAUAUAACAGACACACUUCUACAACAGUAAUACCCGCUCAUACACACAGUAGGUACAGACACACAUCGGGUAUGUUCAUGGUCAGGACAGGGUGGCAGCGAAGUCGCCGCUCUGAAAAAAUGUGACUUGAGGGUGGAAGGAGAAUGAGAGUGAUGAAGGGUGACAGAUAAUUUACUCCGUUGAUGGGGCUUGGUAGGAGAAAGACCUCCUCAUCCUCGUUUAGUGUAUUUAGUGUAUUUAGUGUGUAUAAGUGUGAGGUACAAUCCUUGUACCCAUAGCACAAUAAUGCUCAUGCAAGUCAGUUCUCAGUGGCUUUCUUAGCUCACACCAGCUAGUCUUUCCAGGUUGUCAAAUAUUUGGAAAAAUUCGUCCAUGACUGUCUUUUGUGCAGGUUACAGACUUCUUGUAAACUUUUUGUAGUCACAUGUUUGACAACGUGUGCAGGUCAAAUCACCUAUUGAUCUUUUUAUUUAUUUAUUUUUCUAUUAUUUUAUUUUAUUUUAUUGUAUUUAUUUAUUUAUUUCAUAUAUAUAUAUAUUGUUUAAAUAGGGACCAAUCUCUACAGAAAACAACAGUCUCCUGGGAAAAAAGACGAGAAUUAUUUAAGUGUAUCAGGAGGAGGUUGCCCCGUGAAUGCCAACAUAAGGUCUGAUGAGUACCCGAACUGCCAUAAUGGUAGUCAUGUUCUCCAAGAAUGUAUUUCCAAGGUGGAAUUUAUUUGUGUUAAUUUUUCUCUUUUACAGAUUAAUGCAUAAUUAAUUAUUUAUUAUUUAUUGGUCAAGAACAACUAAAAAUGCAAGUAAAAAAGAGAAUUCAAAAGUAGUCGUUAUGUCUGGGUUGAAAACAGCUCGAUCAAUCCUUCAGAAGGGAUUAGCAUGCGAUUUGAACAUUUGACUUACUUGGUAAAUAAGCUUUUCCUAAGCAACCUUUCGCUCAACUUCCUGCCAGUCGUCAGCAGUGGGUCUGAUUCUCCAGGGACCGCAAAGCCAGUCGGUGCACACCACACCACGGACAAGUACCCCGGGUAACCCACCCCGUGGUGUCGUGCGGUGUCACUAGCCAGUCAUGGGUCCCACCAGGGACUAGCGGCACCCGUGUGUAGCAAUGCACGACCGUGCACCUUCCUCGUGCUUCCACGGUCUGCCGACACGGCCUCGCCUACAUCUCCAUAUAUAGACAUGCCUGUCUGCUGCGCUGCGCAUUGGAGACGUGCUGGAGGUUGUGGCUCGUGAGAAACAUUUUCUUGAUUAUCAUCCCCCCUCCCUGCUGCUUUAUUCCUACAGUUUCACGGCUCGCAUGGCGGACAGCUCCCUCCACACACUCACUACCCUUCUCCCUAGACCCCCGGGUGUGUCGGGGGGACACGGGGACACCAGUCCGGUCUGUGGCCAGCGCUCUUCUCGCCUGUCUUGUUACAGGGAUCAAGAGGUGCUUCAACUGCUUUGGGGUGAGAUUGGGUUGACACAUUCGUCAGUGUCACAGGACACGAUAUAUAUAUAUACACAUCAUAUUCUCUGGCAUAUCAUUUGUUACAAUAGUUCUUUUCCUAUUUCAUAUCUUUUCAAUCUUGGAUUUUUUACUUCGUACACUUUAGAAAAGACAUCUCAGUCUCUAUCUAUCCAUUCUCUCUCUCACACACACACACUUACAUCAAAGAAUGAGGGUUAUAUUAUUAUUAUUUGUGUAACAAAAUGACUAGCAAAAGCAAGUACAACUAGGACACAACACAAUGUCAGCUGACACAACCUGAACAACUGCGGGUGCAAGGUUGUGCCUUAGUUUAAAGUAUUGUACAUGCAAGAAUAUGUAAAUAUAGGAGUAUGUAAAUAAUUCAGUGUGUGCCUACACGCCCUGUAUUGAUGUGAGAUUAAACUGUGUCCCUCCCGUAUGAGGAGAAAUAAAUGUAGGAAUUUCUGGCGGGUGAUGGUCGUCAUGUAUUCUUCGAUUCGAAUGUAAUUAAAAUGUUCUUUUUAUAUGCUGUUUUAUAUUCUGCUUUACUUUAUUAAUAAUACCUUCAAACCAUCCCAGUGUGGGAAUAAAGAAUCAAUGAUGUUAAAGAUAAAAAUCAAGUUUCUUUCUUCCCGUCUUCUCCAAAGACCAUCAGCUUCAGAGGUUUGAUAUGACAGGCAAAGGACUGGUCUGUUUUCCAGCACUACCAUCGCCAUAGUCAGCAGAAAAACUAUGUAAUAUGCAACUCAUUUUAAACUUCACUUGAGAGCAGCCUUGAUAAAUGGACUCAGGUCGCAACAAAACACAUGUCGACCUACACUCAAAAACCCUCAUACAACAAACCAUUCGUAUUCUGUAUUCUUCGCUCAUUUCAGAACUGAGAUUCUGAUCCAUGAGUUGAUCAAACAUGUCAGAUAUUAAUAUUUUCCAGGCAAGAAUUAGAAAGAAAGGAGUAUAAAAGGUUAAAAAAGAAAGGAAAAUUAAAAAGAAUUUUUUCAGAUAAAUCCCUUUCUUUCUGACAUGACCCUGACUCACCUACCCGUAUUAUAUAUCUGACCCUGACUCACCUGACCCAGUUCUUGUUCCCACCCUAGUGUGGCAGAUAACCUGUCUGGGGUACCUUGCGACACUCUGUGAAAGUUACUGCUAGGAGCUGGCGAUCAAAGAUGUAAAGUACCCCUAGGUGGCUGGGUUCAAGGUCAAUGCCGGCAUCCGUAUGCAGCCGGGUGCCUGGUCUCGCAUUACUAAAACAUACACGUCUCGGGUGCACCCCUGGCAUUGACAAGCUGCCGUUGGCGCGGAUUCGAGAUUGGAAACUGUUUAAUACCUCAGACCUUGUAGGCCUAUAGGCUUACACUUUCAUAAACCUUGGGUAGCCUGACGGGAUUGAACCUCCGCCAUCCUUGUCAUGGACCGGAUCCAGUUAUCGGCGAAUAUUUACACUCGUCAUGAUCGUCAUGGAGAGAUGACCAUCCCAUAGGCUCAUCACAGAUGUUUCUAGUCCUCGUUCUCCAUCUGCACCUGCUGUAUCAUCUCUUAUCAUAGCCGCACAUCCCUGUUUAUUGUUACUGUUGUUGUUUUUUUUGUUGUUAUCUUUUGUUUGGCUAGAAACCUCUUUGCACUCUGGUUGCCAGAGGGGUGACGGGACAGGUGGUCUAAUAAUCCUUUGAAAUGUUCACAGAGACUGUUACAACGAAAAUAUCAGUCAUGGUCAGCUCAUGCAUCAAAGGUUAAUAGCCAGGUUCGCUGCUAUGCCAGUUUGUCUGGAAUAUUUAAGAAAGCUGUGGUUAUUUUUAUUGCCAGUUAACCCUCUUUCAAGUUGAGUGUUGGACAACAGAUUUGUUAGUACACAUCAUCGCAGUGGGUUUCUUCCUGAAGUUUAUUCUUUCUGCUGCUUGAUGAAAGAUUUUGUGCCAGAUUGCCUUCCAAGCCAAGUGAGUAAUCGGAUGAAGACCUCAUUUAGUCACACGCUUCAUACUUUUGUAACCGGAAAUAAAGAUCCAUUCACUGUUCCUGCAGAAUUAUUAACUCAAUAUUUAUUUAAAAAAUGUCACUACCUCAAAACUGAAUCACUGUCAAUGUUUUUCUUUGAAUAAAUGCUGAUGUUUGGACUGUGCACUUGCUGUGAUAGCUUCAGUAAGUCCAUCAAGCCGUGAUGUGGGUCCACAGACACCUGGCAGCGUGCCACUAAUUUAGUUGGUGACAUUAGCUGUCUGUGGCCGAUUAGUGUACACGUCUCUAACCCUGAUAAAGCUCGGCGAGACGUCACGCGCGCGUCUAUUUUUAGAUUUACGGGACUGCUUCCGAUAAACCGAAUGGUUCGCAGGAAUAUUUAAAGUCGUGGAAAUCGAGGAUUUUUUUUUUAUUUAUUUUUUUUUUUUUUUUUUUGUUAAGCUCAGAAAACCAGACCUCCCGUGAUAAUAUGACUUUAGCAAUGGAAUGCAAAUCUUUGUUAGGAAAUGAAAGCGCUCUAGAGAGAAUGUAAUAGAAAAAUUAUAAAAGUAUUACAAUCACAAAAAAUAGAAUAGAAUGAUAAAGAGAUAGAAAGAGAGAGAGAGAAAGUAUGAAAAUAUAAAGAAAAAAAUGACUAUAGACAGUCUUUACCGUCUUCACAAGCGUGCCUGUAAUUUUUCUGUUUUGUUUUGUUGUUUUAUUUUUACUUUCUUUUACCGUAGGUACUAAAAGUUGUCUCUAGGCGGACUAACCCAAAGAUGGCAUCAAUCCCUACAUCCAAAUAAAAAGCCAUUUAGCAGGUUGUUGUGAUUCUCUAUCGAGGUGCUCGUAGCUGGUCACUUGUCAGACUUUGGACCACACGGUCAGUCACUAGUGUCAUGGCACUAGACAGGUGUGACACAUGUGUCUGACCAAGCACUACACGGCCUUCUCAUGCUUUUUGUGACUGGUCGGAAACGGUGACCCAUCUUGCAGACUGAAAAAUUAUAGCUCAGCUGGAAGGCUGAGAAUGAUGAUUCAUCUGUCUGGCUGGUUUCACAAUUCAAUUGGUUUUUCGCUUUUUCUUUUUUUUCUUUUUUUUCGACUUGGGACGUUUCAGUUGAUGAUACAUUUGUGCGAUAGUGACCCCUGACUCAUGUGAGGUCUUUUCGUGUUCCCCACCCUAUUCCCCUCCCUCGGGCAUAAACCCCGGCUACUUGACUCAACUGUUUACAACAAAAAAAAAGAUGUACACUAAUAAGAAUAAACAAACUUUGAUCUGAUAAACUAAAAAAGCGAAAAUUAUGUCGCCAAAAUAAAUUGUAAAGUGAUACCACGUGAUCCUGAAAUACCUGUUUAUUCAGUUAUUUUCUGAUGUACCUCAUAGUCUUCUUCGCGCUCCAGUAAGCGUGAACUUUAACCUCGUGCCCACCAAAGCAAAGAGUUCUUUCGGUUCCCAUCUCUUUAUUAACAAAUGUGUAAAUAGCUUCACGGUCUGUUCCCUCCUAGAGAUGGCGGACUUGCUCGAUAUGUUGAUGAGAUGUAAUCAUUAUUGCAAUCCAGCCCAGUCCUGUGCCAAAACGUGUAUUUUGUUCACUGCUCCACAACAGCGAUUUCCUCCAACUUCAGAACCACGGACACAAAAUGUCGGCUGUUUUAACGGUAAAAAAAUCGUUUGAAUCGAAGGCGUGUGAUAAGUGUAGCGUAGAGAGGUAUGGGGUACGGGGUACAUAUCACCUACUUUUGAAAAGGUGGGAAGGGGACUCGUGCCUCACAAAAUGCAAAUGUCGUUGGACAGAUGACGUGAGCAAAUGAGGUUCGCAGCAGGUGAUCAAAGUAAUUACAUCAUGUAUUCAGCUGAGGCUGCAUUAUGUACGAGACCCUUGACACAUAAUCGAUGAAAGAAGUAUCCGAGCGGUCAACGGCCUGCGUGUGUGUGUGUCGGAGAGAGAGAGAGA